rnacentral:tRNA from 2 species
CAGAGAAUAGUUUAUAGAAAAAUUAUAGCUUUGGAUGCUAUGGAAGAUUAAUUCUUUUCUGA